rnacentral:rRNA from 1 species
AUCCACCGUAAGACUAAGGUUUCCAGGGGAAGGCUCGUCCGCCCUGGGUUAGUCGGGACCUAAGGCGAGGCCGAAAGGCGUAGUCGAUGGACAACUGGUUGAUAUUCCAGUACUAGAUAUGAUCGUGAUGGAGGGACGUAGUAGGCUAAGAGAUGCCAGUUAAUGGAUUCUGGUCUAAGCAGUGAGGUGUGAGAUGUGUCAAAUGCAUUUCUCUUUAACAUUGAGCUGUGAUGGGGAAGCAACUACGGUUGCGAACUCUCUGAUGUCACACUGCCAA